UACGGAGGGUGCGAGCGUUGUCCGGAAUCACUGGGCGUAAAGCGCACGCAGGCGGUCUGCUAAGUUUGGAGUGACAGUUGGUGGCUUAACUGCCAAAGUGCUUCGAAAACUGACAGACUUGAGGGCUUCAGAGGGACACGGAAUUCCGGGUGGAGUGGUGAAAUGCGUAGAGAUCCGGAGGAACACCAAAGGCGAAGGCAGUGUCCUGGGGAGUACCUGACGCUCAGGUGACGAAAGCCAGGGGAGCGAACGGG
rnacentral:rRNA from 1 species